rnacentral:rRNA from 1 species
GAUCUAGUCACCAUUAGAGGAAGUAAAAGUCGUAACAAGGUCUCCGUUGGUGAACCAGCGGAGGGAUCAUUACUGAGUUAUCACAACUCCCAACCCAUGUGAACUUACCUUCUGUUGCCUCGGCAGGGCGCACCCCGCGAGGGGCUUGCUGGCCUGCCGGUGGACUACUAAACUCUUGUUUUUUUCGUGGAACUCUGAGUAACAAAACAUAAUAAUCAAAACUUUCAACAACGGAUCUCUUGGUUCUGGCAUCGAUGAAGAACGCAGCGAAAUGCGAUAAGUAAUGUGAAUUGCAGAAUUCAGUGAAUCAUCGAAUCUUUGAACGCACAUUGCGCCUAUUAGUAUUCUAGUAGGCAUGCCUGUUCGAGCGUCAUUUCAACCCUCAAGCCCUGGUUGCUUGGUGUUGGGAGCCUGCCGUAAGACGCAGCUCCCCAAAGCUAGCUGGCAGAGCUAGGGUGUGCUCUAAGCGUAGUAGAAUCUCCUCUCGCUUCGGACGCCGCCCCGGCCCUCUCGCCAUUAAAGCCCCAAACUUUUCUAUGGUGACCUCGAUCAGGAGAUCGUGA